GAUCCCUAUUUUUCUACUUGCACUUUUUACAUGCUUUCAAACUGCUAGGUUGGCAGAAGCUGGGACAAGUAAUGGGAGCUCACCCUGUUACGCAGCACUAGGGAUUCGAACCACUGAACUGCCGACCUUUUGAUCAACAAGCUCAGCAUCUUAGUCACUGAGCCACCGCGUCUCUAUUUAGAAUAAGGAUCAGGUUUUAUUUCAUCUAAUAAUAAAUUAAAAUAAUUCAUUUUACUGGCCAAGCUAUUCCAACCCUACAAUUCAUAUAUUAUUUUUUCUUUCUUUCAGUCUUCCUGAUCAUCCGGCUUUUACAGAUAUAUGUUGUGAUUGGCCUUCAAAAUGCAUACCUUUGUUGUCAAUAAAAUGUCUAUGAACUUAUUAGUUCCAUAGAUUAUAUCAGGAGGAGAAACAUUUGGCUCCCUGCAAAUCUUGAUUGAAACAUUUUAAUUUUGUCUCUCCCUAUUUAGGCAAUAUCUGGGUUUGAGGACAAUCAAGGAAUGAUAGUGGAGAUAGCAAUAUUUUUCUCUCCCACCCCCUCCCAGUUUUUGGAGGAGAUAGAUAUUUUUUUUAAGAGAGUUAAUUCUACCUUUAUGUGGUUUCUACAUCAAACUGGUAGCUAAUCAAAAUGCAGUGGUGCAGUCAGAAGAAAGGAAGGGGUUUGCCAGAAAAAAAGCAGCAAAUGGAUUACUUUUAGAUGUUCGGAAGUCCUAGCAGCCAUGAAGUCCUAGAAGCCAUUGAAGCUCUCUCUGGGAAGUUUGCCCAGAAAUGAUCAAAUCCUCAAUUAGAAAAUAUGUCUUGGUCCUUCUGAGAAGUUGAUUGUUAAAUUGGUUGGAGAAGCUGAACUUUAUGUGAACGUUUGGCCAUAAGAAACUUUAGGGUCAUCCUCCUUUUAACCGAAAUAUACCAAUAAGCUAUGCAAGCAACUUUAUUUUCAUAAAUAUCCGUCUUUCUUGGCAGAGCAAGUGCAUUAGUUUAAAAUCAAACAGUGUAUCAAGAAAUUAUGAAAACUCGAUUGCACCUUAUUGCAAAUUAAGAUAAUGUAAAUUUCAGCUUGAACAAGUCAUGUUUGAUUGGUUUUUUUUUUUAAAAAAAGGUUAUAUUAUGUCAUAAAGAUUCCUGAAAUAAGUUACCCUUGAAUGUCAAGAGGUGAAAAGGCCAUUUCAAGAUGAGUUUUGUUUUUUAAAUGGAACAGUAUGGUCAGCAAUAUUCAUUCCAAUAAAGGGCCAGUAAAUCCAGAAA